rnacentral:lncRNA from 1 species
AUGAGUAAAACCUAAUAAUAUUGUUCAAUUAUGCCCCGAGAGUUGUAAUUUCGAACGAAUCGAUGUCAACGUUCACAAGAACCAAAACCGGAACAACCUUAGACUAUUCAGUUGCGCCCGAACAGUAUAACUUUGCAACGAGUACUUUUUCUCAUUCAAACGAACAAAGAGUAAAACCUAAUUAUAUUGUUCUAUUAUGUCCCGAGAGUGUAAAUUUGGAACGAAUCGUUGUCAACCUUAACAAGAACCAAAAUCGGAAUAACAAUAGACAACUCUGUCGCGCCCCAACAGUAUAACUUUGCAACUAGUACUUUUUCUCAUUCAAUCAAACAAAGUAUAAAAGCUAAUUAUAUUAUUUUAUUAUGCCCCGAGAGUGUAAAUUUGGAACGAAUCGAUGUCAACCUUCACAAGAACCAAAACCGGAACAACAAUAGACUACUCAGUUGCGCCCUAACAGUAUAACUUUGCAACUAGUACUUUUUCCCAUUCGAUCGAACAAAGUGUAAAAGCUAAUUAUAUUGUUCUAUUAUGCCCCGAGAGUGUAAAUUUGGAACGAAUCGAUGUCAACGUUCACAAGAACAAAAACCGGAACAACAUUAGACUACUCAGUUGCGCCCNU